GGGUUGUGAGGUUAAGCGACUAAGCGUACACGGUGGAUGCCCUGGCAGUCAGAGGCGAUGAAGGACGUGCUAAUCUGCGAAAAGCGUCGGUAAGGUGAUAUGAACCGUUAUAACCGGCGAUGUCCGAAUGGGGAAACCCAGUGCAAUUCGUUGCACUAUCGUUAACUGAAUACAUAGGUUAACGAGGCGAACCGGGGGAACUGAAACAUCUAAGUACCCCGAGGAAAAGAAAUCAACCGAGAUUCCCCCAGUAGCGGCGAGCGAACGGGGAGCAGCCCAGAGUCUGAAUCAGCUUGUGUGUUAGUGGAACGGUCUGGAAAGUCCGACGGUACAGGGUGAUAGUCCCGUACACCAAAAUGCACAGGCUGUGAACUCGAAGAGUAGGGCGGGACACGUGGUAUCCUGUCUGAAUAUGGGGGGACCAUCCUCCAAGGCUAAAUACUCCUGACUGACCGAUAGUGAACCAGUACCGUGAGGGAAAGGCGAAAAGAACCCCGGCGAGGGGAGUGAAAAAGAACCUGAAACCGUGUACGUACAAGCAGUGGGAGCACCUUCGGGUGUGACUGCGUACCUUUUGUAUAAUGGGUCAGCGACUUAUAUUCUGUAGCAAGGUUAACCGUAUAGGGGAGCCGCAGGGAAACCGAGUCUUAACUGGGCGUUAAGUUGCAGGGUAUAGACCCGAAACCCGGUGAUCUAGCCAUGGGCAGGUUGAAGGUUGGGUAACACUAACUGGAGGACCGAACCGACUAAUGUUGAAAAAUUAGCGGAUGACUUGUGGCUGGGGGUGAAAGGCCAAUCAAACCGGGAGAUAGCUGGUUCUCCCCGAAAGCUAUUUAGGUAGCGCCUCGUGAACUCAUCUUCGGGGGUAGAGCACUGUUUCGGCUAGGGGGUCAUCCCGACUUACCAACCCGAUGCAAACUACGAAUACCGAAGAAUGUUAUCACGGGAGACACACGGCGGGUGCUAACGUCCGUCGUGAAGAGGGAAACAACCCAGACCGCCAGCUAAGGUCCCAAAGUCAUGGUUAAGUGGGAAACGAUGUGGGAAGGCACAGACAGCCAGGAUGUUGGCUUAGAAGCAGCCAUCAUUUAAAGAAAGCGUAAUAGCUCACUGGUCGAGUCGGCCUGCGCGGAAGAUGUAACGGGGCUAAACCAUGCACCGAAGCUGCGGCAGCGACACUAUGUGUUGUUGGGUAGGGGAGCGUUCUGUAAGCCUGCGAAGGUGUGCUGUGAGGCAUGCUGGAGGUAUCAGAAGUGCGAAUGCUGACAUAAGUAACGAUAAAGCGGGUGAAAAGCCCGCUCGCCGGAAGACCAAGGGUUCCUGUCCAACGUUAAUCGGGGCAGGGUGAGUCGACCCCUAAGGCGAGGCCGAAAGGCGUAGUCGAUGGGAAACAGGUUAAUAUUCCUGUACUUGGUGUUACUGCGAAGGGGGGACGGAGAAGGCUAUGUUAGCCGGGCGACGGUUGUCCCGGUUUAAGCAUGUAGGCUGAUUGUCCAGGCAAAUCCGGAUAAUCAAGGCUGAGGUGUGAUGACGAGGCACUACGGUGCUGAAGUAACAAAUGCCCUGCUUCCAGGAAAAGCCUCUAAGCAUCAGGUAACAUCAAAUCGUACCCCAAACCGACACAGGUGGUCAGGUAGAGAAUACCAAGGCGCUUGAGAGAACUCGGGUGAAGGAACUAGGCAAAAUGGUGCCGUAACUUCGGGAGAAGGCACGCUGGUGUGUAGGUGAAGUCCCUGCGGAUGGAGCUGAGACCAGUCGAAGAUACCAGCUGGCUGCAACUGUUUAUUAAAAACACAGCACUGUGCAAACACGAAAGUGGACGUAUACGGUGUGACGCCUGCCCGGUGCCGGAAGGUUAAUUGAUGGGGUUAUCCGUAAGGAGAAGCUCUUGAUCGAAGCCCCGGUAAACGGCGGCCGUAACUAUAACGGUCCUAAGGUAGCGAAAUUCCUUGUCGGGUAAGUUCCGACCUGCACGAAUGGCGUAAUGAUGGCCAGGCUGUCUCCACCCGAGACUCAGUGAAAUUGAACUCGCUGUGAAGAUGCAGUGUACCCGCGGCAAGACGGAAAGACCCCGUGAACCUUUACUAUAGCUUGACACUGAACAUUGAGCCUUGAUGUGUAGGAUAGGUGGGAGGCUUUGAAGCGUGGACGCCAGUCUGCGUGGAGCCAACCUUGAAAUACCACCCUUUAAUGUUUGAUGUUCUAACGUUGGCCCCUGACCGGGGUUGCGGACAGUGUCUGGUGGGUAGUUUGACUGGGGCGGUCUCCUCCCAAAGCGUAACGGAGGAGCACGAAGGUUAGCUAAUCCUGGUCGGACAUCAGGAGGUUAGUGCAAUGGCAUAAGCUAGCUUGACUGCGAGCGUGACGGCGCGAGCAGGUGCGAAAGCAGGUCAUAGUGAUCCGGUGGUUCUGAAUGGAAGGGCCAUCGCUCAACGGAUAAAAGGUACUCCGGGGAUAACAGGCUGAUACCGCCCAAGAGUUCAUAUCGACGGCGGUGUUUGGCACCUCGAUGUCGGCUCAUCACAUCCUGGGGCUGAAGUAGGUCCCAAGGGUAUGGCUGUUCGCCAUUUAAAGUGGUACGCGAGCUGGGUUUAGAACGUCGUGAGACAGUUCGGUCCCUAUCUGCCGUGGGCGCUGGAGAAUUGAGGGGGGCUGCUCCUAGUACGAGAGGACCGGAGUGGACGCAUCACUGGUGUUCGGGUUGUCAUGCCAAUGGCACUGCCCGGUAGCUAAAUGCGGAAGAGAUAAGUGCUGAAAGCAUCUAAGCACGAAACUUGCCCCGAGAUGAGUUCUCCCUGAGAC
rnacentral:rRNA from 1 species